CCUACGGGAGGCAGCAGUAGGGAAUAUUGCUCAAUGGGGGAAACCCUGAUGCAGCAAUGCCGCGUGGAGGAUGAAGGUUUUCGGAUUGUAAACUCCUUUUGUUAGAGAAGAUAAUGACGGUAUCUAAAGAAUAAGCACCGGCUAACUCCGUGCCAGCAGCCGCGGUAAUACGGAGGGUGCAAGCGUUACUCGGAAUCACUGGGCGUAAAGAGCGCGUAGGCGGGAUAGCAAGUCAGAUGUGAAAUCCCAUGGCUUAACCAUAGAACUGCAUUUGAAACUGUUAUUCUAGAGUAUGGGAGAGGUAGGUGGAAUUCUUGGUGUAGGGGUAAAAUCCGUAGAGAUCAAGAGGAAUACUCAUGGCGAAGGCGACCUGCUAGAACAUAACUGACGCUGAUGCGCGAAAGCGUGGGGAGCAAACAGGAUUAGAUACCCGAGUAGUC
rnacentral:rRNA from 1 species